CUUCGUUGAUUAUCAAUUUGAAGGUAUACAAGGAAGUGAUUAUAAAUAAUCAUGAUCUAAUCAUAUAUAUGAGAUAAAUAGGAAAAUCAAUCUGAAAUGGGAAGUUUCUUUUCUAAAAACAACUUUUUCAGGAAAAGGGGGUCGCGAUUUAACAGGUCAGCCAAAAGGAAAGGGUGUAACCGCUGGAUCAGAAUCUAGGACACCAGCUAUACCCGAGCCAAACCCCGGGCCUACAGUAGUGUCUCCAACAACAAAUCCCGCUCCUUUCUCGCCAACUGUCACCUCAGAUACAACACUCUCGGCUCCUAGUUUAGGGGAAAUUAAGUAACAUUUUUCUACUACAGUGAAUCCAUUUGCACACUGAAUGUGCUUCACGGUUCCACAUUUACGAUAAUGAAAUCAUAGGACCUUCUCUACAACAACGACUCGAAAUGGCGUUCAGAAAAUUUUCUCUGCAACAUUGACUCUAGAUACAACACCAUUAUGUUAAUUCUCGUCUCCAUAUUUACAAAAAACAGUCCGCGACCUUUCUCUUCAACAGUAAGUUAAAACAACAUAAAUUUCCAUAUAUACAAAGAAAAAGUAUUGAACCUUUCUCUUCCACAGUGACUGAAGUUACAUCACCAUUUAAGUGUUUCCCGUGUAACUAUGUACGGAGAGAAAUAUGGAAUCUUUCUCCUCAGCAGUGACAGAAGUUACAUCACCAUUACAGUGUUUACCGUCUGCAUGUAUUCGGGGAGAAUAUGGAAUCUUUCUCUUCAACAGUGGCAGUAGUUACAUCACCAUUACAGUGUUUCCCGUCUGCACGUAUACGAGGGAGAAUAUGGAAUCUUUCUCUUCAACAGUGACUGAAGUUACAAAACCAUUAAAGUGUUUCCCGUCCGCAUACAUACGGGGGAGAAUAUGGAAUCUUUCUCUUCAACAGUGACAGUAGUUACAUCACCAUUACAGUGUUUCCCGUCCGCAUGUAUACUGGAGAAAUAUGGAAUCUUUCUCUUCAACAGUGACAGUAGUUACAUCACCAUUACAGUGUUUCCCGUCCGCAUGUA